AGAGUUUGAUCCUGGCUCAGGAUGAACGCUAGCUACAGGCUUAACACAUGCAAGUCGAGGGGCAGCAUUUCAGUUUGCUUGCAAACUGGAGAUGGCGACCGGCGCACGGGUGAGUAACACGUAUCCAACCUGCCGAUAACUCGGGGAUAGCCUUUCGAAAGAAAGAUUAAUACCCGAUGGUAUAAUUAGACCGCAUGGUCUUGUUAUUAAAGAAUUUCGGUUAUCGAUGGGGAUGCGUUCCAUUAGGCAGUUGGUGAGGUAACGGCUCACCAAACCUUCGAUGGAUAGGGGUUGUGAGAGGAAGGUCCCCCACAUUGGAACUGAGACACGGUCCAAACUCCUACGGGAGGCAGCAGUGAGGAAUAUUGGUCAAUGGGCGCAGGCCUGAACCAGCCAAGUAGCGUGAAGGAUGACUGCCCUAUGGGUUGUAAACUUCUUUUAUAUGGGAAUAAAGUUUUCCACGUGUGGAAUUUUGUAUGUACCAUAUGA
rnacentral:rRNA from 1 species